GUCUAUUACGGAGUUAUUAAUAGUCUGGCCUGCUCCCUGACUAUAAAGUUAAAGAGCCGCGGUAAUUUGACCGUGCAAAGGUAGCAUAAUCAUUAGUUUCUUAAUUGGGAACUUGUAUGAAAGGUUUGACAAAGAAAAAGCUGUCUUUAUUAUGAGUGUUGAACUUAACUUUUAAGUGAAAAGGCUUAAAUAAUUUAGAGGGACGAUAAGACCCUAUAAAACUUUAUAUAAAAGAUAAUUAAAACUGAGUUUAUAAUAAAAGUUUAAAUUAGUUAUUAUAUUUUAUUGGGGUGAUAUUAAUAAAAAUAAUAUUAACUGUUAAAAAGGAAUACGUAAAUAAAAGAGUUAAAUUGUUGAUGAUCCUUAUUUAAAGAUUAAAAGAUUAAGUUACUUUAGGGAUAACAGCGUAAUUUUUCUUAAGAGUUCAUAUCGAAAGAAAAGAUUUCGACCUCGAUGUUGAAUUAAGAUAUCUGUGUAAAGCAGCUAUUACAUAAGAAGGUCUGUUCGACCUUUAAACUUUUACAUGAUUUGAGUUCAGACCGGCGCGA
rnacentral:rRNA from 1 species